ACCGGAAUAGUGUUAACGGCAACACGUCGGUCUCCAAAACCGAAAUUCUGGGUUCAAAUCCUAGUUCCGGUG
rnacentral:tRNA from 1 species